rnacentral:rRNA from 1 species
UACGUAGGGUGCAAGCGUUGUCCGGAAUUAUUGGGCGUAAAGAGCUCGUAGGCGGUUUGUUGCGUCGGCUGUGAAAACCCGGGGCUCAACCCCGGGCCUGCAGUCGAUACGGGCAGACUAGAGUGCGGUAGGGGAGACUGGAAUUCCUGGUGUAGCGGUGAAAUGCGCAGAUAUCAGGAGGAACACCGGUGGCGAAGGCGGGUCUCUGGGCCGUAACUGACGCUGAGGAGCGAAAGCGUGGGGAGCGAACAGG